AUUGAACGCUGGCGGCAGGCCUAACACAUGCAAGUCGAACGAGUGGCGGACGGGUGAGUAAUGUCUGGGAAACUGCCCGAUGGAGGGGGAUAACUACUGGAAACGGUAGCUAAUACCGCAUACCAUCGGAUGUGCCCAGAUGGGAUUAGCUAGUAGGUGGGGUAACGUCUAACCUCGGCGACGAUCCCUAGCUGGUCUGAUAAGAUGACCAGCAACGAUGGAACUGAGACACGGUCCAGACGCCUACGGAAGGCAGCAGUGGGGAAUAUUGCACAAUGGGCGCAAGCCUGAUGCAGCCAUGCGGCGUGUAUGAAGAAGUCCUUCGGGUUGUAAAGUACUUUCAGCGAGGAGGCGUUACUCGCAGAAGAAGCACCGGCUAACUCCGUGCCAGCAGCCGCGGUAAUUC
rnacentral:rRNA from 1 species